rnacentral:tRNA from 1 species
GCCUGGGUGGCUCAGUCGGUCAAGCAUCUGACUUCAACUCAGGUCAUGAUCUCACCAUUUGUGAGUUCGAACCCCGUGUCAGGCU